AGUUGCAGCGGCCUGGCCACCUCAGGAGCACGCUGUCUCUUCCCGACGUGCAGCCCGGGGCCCGGCCCUGUCCCCGGGUGACUGCUCCCCGGCAGGACUGCACAUCUGUGGCGGCAGGCCCAGCUCAGGGCUCGGGGGAGGUUCGGCCUUGCCUUCAAAGAGCUCCCUCUCCUGCAGGGCGAGCGCAGAGCGGCGGGCGAGACCACACUGCGUGUGCUGAGGGCGCACUGGUCUUAGCGGGAGGGAAGCCUCACGAGCCUGUACACUUGGAGGAGCCCUAAGCGUUAGGAUCUGCUGCGAGGGCUGCCUGGAACGGAGGUGAGAGGAUACAAGUGGCCCGGGGCAAGCAUAGUGAAUCACUGGCUAAUCUGGCCUUCGAGGUAGUGAAAGGAAAAAAGGGAAAUGAAGCUGACUGUGGCUGAAUGUAGUAGGUCUUGAAGGCCAAAUGGGGCGAUCUGAUUUUUAUUCUAGAAGCAGAGGAGAAACUAAAGAUUUUUUUAGGAGACUAUAUUCAAGCUUGUAUCAUUAGUUCAUCAGACGUUUAUGGACCACCCACCGUCCGUGCACUCACGGGGCUUGCAGUCUAUCUGGCUGAAUCACUUUGGCAGCCAGUGUGAGGAGGGCACAGAAAGGAGACCAGGUGAGAAAGCCAGCCUGACCAAAGAAGAUGUGGCAACUGAUGGGAUUGGAGGAGGCGGACAAUGUCCUCCAGACAGCUGGACUGGCUCUCUAUAUAUUUAUUUAUCUCUUCUACACCUCCAGCCCCCACCUCCACACUCACUAACUGGACUCAACUAGUGGGGGCAAAGGACAGACUAGAUUUUAGUGAAAUGGAAUUUCUACCUCCAGCGGCCCCUGGAACAGUAGCACACAACGAUCUAACAACUGCUUGUAUGAUUGGAUGGUGUAAGUGCGGACAGAAUUAGGGAAUUUGGGCUACUCUGGGCACACUGCUUAUGGGGCAGCCCUGCUCCGCAAGGAAAAUAAACACAUUUUUUUAAAAAAAGGCCGGGCGCGGUGGCUCACGCCUGUAAUCCCAGCACUUUGGGAGGCCAAGGCAGGCGGAUCACGAGGUCAGGAGAUCGAGACCAUCCUGGCUAACACGGUGAAACCCCAUCUCUACUAAAAAUACAAAAAAUUAGCCGGGCGUGGUGGCGGGCGUCUGUAGUCCCAGCUACUCGGGAGACUGAGACAGAAUGGUGUGAACCCGGGAGGCAGAGCUUGCAGUGAGCCGAGAUCGCACCACUGCACUCCAGCCUGAGCAAUAGAGCAAGACUCUGUCUCAAAAAAAAAAAAAAAAAAAAAAAAAAGGCCGGGUGCGUUGGCUCACGCCUGUAAUCCCAGCACUUUGGGAGGCUGAGGCGGGCAGAUCACCUGAGGUCAGGAGUUUGAGAACAGCCUGGCCAACAUGGUGAAACCCCGUCUCUACUGAAAAUACAAAAAUUAGCCAGGCAUGGUGGCGCAAGCCUGUAAUCCCAGCUACUCGGGAGGCUGAGGCAGAAGAAUUGCUUGAACCUGGGAGGCGGAGGUUGCAGUGAGCCGAGAUCAAGCCACUGCACUCCAGCCUGGAGUGCAGGGCAAGACUCCGUCUCAAAAAAAAAAAAAAAAGGGAAUUCGGAGACCAGCCUGGGCAACACAGUGAAACCCCAUCUCUACUAAAAUACAUUUAAAAAAAAAUUAGCUGGGCAUGGUGGUGUGCGCCUGUUGUCCCAGCUACUUGGGAGGCUGAGGCAGGAGAAUUGCUUGAACCUGGGAGGCAGAGGGUGCAGUAAGCCGAGAUCAUGCCACUGCACUACAGCCUGGGCAACAGAGCAAGACUCGUCUCCAGAAAAAAAAAAAAAAAAAAAAAAGAUGUUCAUAAAUGGUAGGAUAGGCUGGGGAUGGAGGCUCACACCUGUAAUCCUAGCACUUUGUAAGGCUGAGGCAGGCAGAUCACUUGAGCUCACAAGUUCGAGCCUGGGCAACAUCGUGAGACCCCGGCUCUACAAAAAAUACAAAAAAUCAGCUGGGCAUGGUGAUGCAUGCCUAUAGUCCCAGCUACUCUGGAGGCUGAGGUGGGAGGAUGACUUGAGCCCAGGAAGUGGAGGUUGCAGUAAGCCAAGACUGCGCCACUGCACUCCAGUCUGAGUGAUAGAAACCUUGUCUCUAAAUAAAUAAAUAAAUAAAUAAAUAACUCCACAAAUGGUGGGAUAUAGCUAUGUGAAAGUUUAGUCCUAGAGUUUAGGUAAGAGGUCUGAGCCAAAGUACAGAUAUGACCCAGCCUAUUAGUACCCAUCCUUGAAAGGAAAUGGCAGAAUUCACUGUUUAAAAGGCUCCAACACUAAGGUCCUAACUGAUCUGGUCCCUGCCUUGUCCUCUCAUUCUACCUGUGACACUCUCCUGGGCCCCACCCAGUGCUUUAACCAUUCCCCGAGGAUGUCAGCAUCUUUCAUACCCCCCUCAACCCUCAAACCUUGCCCCCUGGCUCAGCACAAGGAACAGUCAGGUCUCCUAGGCAGUAAAUCACUCCCUCCUCUUGCUCCCACAAUUGUAAUUAUAUGCUUAUCUGCAUCGCAAAACUAUAAGCUCCUCUCAGCAUGGGCCAUGUUUUGUCAUCUCUGUAUCUCCAGCAUCUGGCCCGUUAUCUGGUACUCAGUUGGCCCUCUACCUUUGUUGAAUGAAUGUUAGUGUGAAUGGGAUGACGUGGGAAAGGAAGAGAGGCCAAGGGAACCAGAGUCAAGUGGAGAGGACAAUAAGAAUUAGAAAGCCUUUCCAUUUCCCUUGGGAACAGUAUCACUGAGUCCAUAAAUAUUUAUUGAAAGCCUGUGUUCCAGGUAUACUCUAAUGACUUCAGGUUCACACCUGACUCCAAAGCCAUGAGUUUAAAUGUUCCAAUUAGUACCUGUGUGACCUUAUGUAAGUUGCUGAACCUCUAUAAAAUUGGAGCAAUAAGAGUUCCUAUCUCAUAGGAUUGCUGUAAAGACUGAAAGAGAUAACACAUGUAAGGUGUUCAGCACUGUUUCUGUCUCAACAUUUAAUGGACAAGGUGGGAAAGUGCCCAAAGUAUCAGGAAGGUACAUACUUAUAUGUAGAUUCAUGAGCAUUCUUUUAAUAAUCUUUCCUAAACAGUUACUGUGUGCAAACCACUGUUGUGAGAGCACUAUUGAGAGAUUUUGGAUUAAAUGUCCAUCAUAAGAGUGCACUAGAGACAAAGCAGACUAUUAUAGAUGAUGAAACUGUCCCAGAGGCCAAACACAGCAGUGAUAGGAAACUUCAACUGUGUUUUUAUUUACCUGGACCACAUUUGUAAAUGACCAUGGCAGGCCCUCAAUAAAUGCUGACUGACUACAUGAAUGAACAUGCUCAAAGACAGUUGUUCAGCUCUUGUCCCAGGUUCUAUCAUACCCCUCUCCCCCUUCCUGAGUUUCUUUUGUUCAGUUUGGCAAACAGUGAAUGGAUGUUUGCCAAAUAUUUGAGGAUGCUCAAAUAUCUGAUAUAGACCACUUAGCCCCAAAUCCUACCAAAUGGCAUCUUCAUGGCCCUGGGGUUCCUGCAAAACACUCAGUCUGAUGGAAAAGACAGACAUAUAGAUGAGCAAUUAUAUAUGUGGUGAGUGUUCCCAUAGAGAUAAACCCAGAGGGUUAUGAAAGCACUGGGGUGCGGGGGCACCUUAACUCAGUAUGGAGGCUAAUUCUUAAAGGUGAUGCAAAAAUGACACUUAAUUGAGCAUUAAAGGUCACUUUCUAGGCCGCGUAAGGUGGCUCAUGCCUGUAAUCCCAGCACUUUAGGAGGCUGAGGUCGGUGGAUCACCUGAGGUCAGGAGUUCGAGACCAGACUGGCCAACAUGGUGAAACCCUGUCUCUACUAAAAAAUACACAAAAAUUAGCCAGGCCUGGUGGCAGGCGCCUGAAAUUCCAGCUACUCAGGAGGCUGAGGCAGGAGAACCACUUGAAGGCAGGAGGCGGAGGUUGCAGUGAGCUGAGGUUGUACCACUGCACUCCAGCCUGGGCGACAAGAGCGAGACUCCAUCUCAAAAAAAAAAAAAAGAAAGAAAAAAAAGGACACUUUCUAGGAAGCAGGGAAAGGCAUUCUAAGUGGAGCGAAGCAUGUAUGUGAAGGCAUAGAAGCAAGAGAUGUGGCGGGUUUGGGAACGCUAAGUAGUUUGGUAUGACUCCAGUUCAGAGGGCAUAUGGGAGGGCAAGAAAGGUAGGCAUGAGUCAGUUUAUGAAGAGCCUUGUAUGCCACAGCAAGAAGACUGGAUUUUAUUCUGUAUAUGUUUUUCAGCCCUGGCUGCAACUAGAAUCAACUGGGGAGCUUUUAAAAUAUCAGUGCCUGGCUCUCACCUCCAGAUUGAUGCUAGAUGGUUGUUCUUAAUGGGAAGAGGCCAAAGCAUGUUUAUAUGCUGUAUGGAGAGUGACAAUGGGAUCCAGCAUACACAUGAAGAGAGUAGCCUCUGGCUAAGGAGAACGGAAAUAGAGUAAGUUCGUCAGUGGAAUGGGAGGAAAUUGAGGGAGUUUUGUCUAAAGGAGUCUAUUUUUUCCUUCAGUCAGAUGUUAGGUAGUUGCUGAACAUGGGGGAUGGGUAGGUGAUGGGAUAAAGAAUUGUAGGGAAGUGGUUCACUCUGGAGUAACUGAUGAUGGAAUGCUGGGAAAGCUUAGUGAACAGCUAAGUGGAAGGCCCCACUGGGUGGGAGACCAUAAGGAGUGUACCAGUUUAGAAGGCUGUGAUGUUUUCCGCAGAGCUAAGUGAGUGGGAGUCAGGAGAGCAGAAAUAGGACCAUUUGGGAUCUGCAGGGAAGCGAGAUGGAAGGCCUUGCUUGGGAGAGGGUUCAGUGAAGGCUGAGUAGAUGAAACUAAACCAAGGGUACACUGAUAAACUGGAUAAACUGAAGAGGUCAAGGAACUCAUAGGUUUGAUAAGGAUGAAGGCCAGGUGUAGUGGGGAAAGAAAACCCAGUCCAACAACUAAAAUUCCAUCCAUUUCAUGGAGCCUUCCUGACUAAUGGGAAAUGAGGUGGCAACUUCCCCCAGGUCCCACCCUGUCUGACUCACUCCUCACUCACUGCUCUUCAAAGGGCCCGUCUCCAUCCUCUUUCUCAAGAAGAGAAACCAUGGAUGUUGUUUCUAAAAGUUCAGCCUGAAAACCACUGUCUGUAUGAACUCAAUUCCCAUGAUUUUUUGAGGCUUUAUAUGUUUCAGCACAAAUAUUAAAUGGAGGUAGGAUAGAGAAGCAGAAAUGGCAAUGAGGAAAAAAAUGGAAAAAGGUAUGCCUGCAUGUUCAUGAGUGAGUCAGCAGAAGAGUGGAGGGAAAAGACAAUAAGACACGGGGUAUCAGCUAUGAAUAGGAACUGAAGGUCCAGAUUGAAGGGCAACAGAACUGGCAGGUGGAGAUGGAAGCAGCCUCCUGGGGGCUGUGUCAAGCUUCUCCAUUCUCCAUCCUGUAAAGGACAAAGGACACUUCCUACACAGUACCCACACAGAAGAGCUGAUGGGAGGGUUAGCCUGUGAGGACGAGAGAGUGAAGAUGAGGGCAAAGGGUUUGCCAGUUAAUAAUUCUGCAUGUUUCUUGGGCCCCAGCCAGCUAGCUGGUAUCCUCUUCCAAAGCAGGCUGGGACCUUGGCUGAAGGAACCAGGGCUGGAAAGACAUCGGGCUGGCAGAGGGGAGAGACUGCAUGCAAACAUUCUUUGUAUCUUCUGCAAUUUGAGAGUUGGCCUGGAACCCUGAAAGUCAGGGCCAAUGUCUGAUCCAUCAGUGGGUAACCAGUGCCUACAUACUAUGGGUAUCAUUCACUGUUCAUUGAACUGAACAAAAGAAACUUAGGAACGGGGAAAGGGAUGUGAUAGAACCUGCAGGAAAAGCUCCGGAGAGAAAGGAGAGGCUUUUUGUUAGGGGGCAAACCAGGGGAUGCUAUCAAGAUGGAGGAAAGGGAGUUAGCAAGAUCCAGAAGACACGUGAGAAGGACCAAGAGGGGAAUGAGAAGCUUAUAAUUCUAUUAGUACUUUUUCUGGCAAGGAUGAAGCCAGCUGCAUUCCCUAUGUUCGAAUGUUUCCAUCCUGUCAGGUAAGUUCUAUGAUCACCUCUUAAUAGAUAAAAAAAAAACUGGAAUCAGAGGUUGAAGGCUUUGCUCAAGGUCACAGACCGGGUAAGGUGAAAGCAACACAGGUGUUUCAGGCUGAGGAAAAAGCACAGACAAAGGAAUGGAUAUAGGAAAACACAGGACAGGUAGAGAAUUGCAAGGGAUUCUGUUUGGCUAAAGCAACAGUCCCCAACCUUUUUGGCACCAGGGACCAGUUUCGUUUUGUGGAAGACAAUUUUUCCAAGGAUGGGGGCUUGUGGUGAUGUGGGGGGCAAGGGGCAGGGGGAUGGUUUCAGGAGGAAACUGUUCCACCUCAGAUCAUCAGGCAUUCAUUAGAUUCUCAUAAGGAGUGCACAGCCUAGAUCCCUUGCAUGCACAGUUCACAAUAGGGUUCCCACUCCUAUGAGAAUCUAAUGCUGCUGCUGACCUGUCAGAAGGCGGAGCUCAGGCAUUAAUGCUUGCUGACUUGCCCACCACUCACCUUCUGCUGUGCGGCCUGGUUCCUAACAGGUCACAGACCAGUACUGGUCCAUGGCCCAGGGGUUGGGGACCCUUGGGCUAAAGGAUAUGGCUAACGAAAGGCCUUCAUAUGAUAGAAGGUUAAUGAGUGGCCCCAGAUCAUGAAAUGUUUUGAAUUUUAAAAAAUGAGUUUACUUUAUAUUGGGGUGUCUCUGAAGAUUUUUUUUUUUUUUUUUGCGACAGAGUCUCACUCUGUCGCCCAGGCUGGAGUGCAGUGGUGCGAUCUUGGCUCACUGCAAGCUCCGCCUCCUGGGUUCACACCAUUCUCCUGCCUCAGCCUCCCGAGUAGCUGGGACUACAGGUGCUCGCCACCACACCCGGCUAAUUUUUUGUAUUUUCAGUAGAGACAGGGUUUCACUGUGUUAGCCAGGAUGGUCUCGAUCUCCUGACCUUGUGAUCCGCCCGCCUCGACCUCCCAAAGUGUUGGGAUUACAGGCGUGAGCCACCACGCCCGGCCCGUCUCUGAAGAUUUUAAGUGGCAGGCUGAUAUGAUCCCCACUGUAUUUUAAAAAGACAAACUUGGGGACGGGCAUAGUGGUUCACACUUGUAAUCCCAACAAUUUGGGAGGCCAAGGUGGGUGGAUCAAUUGAGGUCAGGAGUUAGAGACCAGCCUGGACCAACAUGGUGAAACCCAAUCUCUACUAAAAAUACAAAAUUAGGUGGGUGUGGUGGCGUGUGCCUGUAGUCCCAGCUACUUAGAAAGCUGAGGCAGGAGAAUCGCUUGAACCUGGGAGGUGGAGGUUGCAGUGAACCAAGAUCAUACCACUGCACUCCAGCCUGGGCGACAGAGCAAGACUGUCUCAGAAGAAAGAAAGAAAAAAAGACAAACUUGGCAACAGCAAGGUAUAUUAUCAAGAGGAAAGCAGAAGAAGGCAGGGAUAUCAGCUGGGAGCCAGCUCAGAGGUCUGGGUGUGACAUAACAAAGGCCUGACCUAGAAGAAUGGCAGUGAGAAGGAAGAAAAGGGGAUACAACAGAAAGAGGACCCAGAACUGACAGCAGAUGUCCAGAUGGAUAACUCAGGUGGGACAGGAUGAAGAAAAUGAAUGCAGUUUGGGACAUCCUGAGUUUGAGGUGAGAUGGCCCAUUCAACAAGCAAUCUAAAACACAAUACUGUGCAUUCAGGAGAAAGGACAGAGCUUGAGAAAAAAAUCUGAGGAUUCUCUAUACAGAGGUGAAACCACACAAAGUGGACUGGAGUGUGGUAGCUCUAGUUUUGGCUGUAUUCAGAAACUUUCCCAUCCCCUGCUUUCAUUUCCUUUGAGAAAUUCCCUACCCCAUUGGCUCAUUAAUGCUGGUAGUCUCCCCUACUUCCUCCCAGUCCAAGCUCCUAAUGGCACAUAAUCCAAGCAAAACCAGAGCUCUCCCAUGAGAUGAGUUCGAAUAAUGUAGAGUGGAGAAAUGCAGAGACAGAGUCCAGACAACAUUUGAGCCUCUGAGCCCACCUAGAGGCAUCCACAUAACCCAAAUACAGCUGGUUCUCUUUUUUUUUUUUUUUAUUAAGCCAGUUUAAUUGUAAUUUUGAUUAGGCUAGUUUAAUUGUAAUGUCUUGCAAUCAAAACAGUCUACUAGACCAUCACAUAAAAAUGAGAUUGCUCAGGAGAAAGUAAAAGAGACUAACAGUUACCACUUGAGUGUUGACUAUUUGCCUGAAGGGCCUUUUUAAGAAGCUUGGACUUUAUCUGGUAGAAAAUUAAGAGCUACCUAAAGAUUUAAAUUUAACUUUAAAUAUGUUUUGUUGAAGGUGCUCUUUGAAGUUGGUACUAUAAUCCCAUUCUAUAGAGCUGGAAACUGAGGUUCUUGUAAGUGAAGUAACUUUCUAAGGCCACACAAUGGAUAAGUGUUCAAACCAGGAUAUGAACUUGAAAAUAAAUAAACUGCAAUAGAACUAUGGGUGCUAGAAUGGAAGUAUACAGGGCACAGGAGAGGUACAGUUUAAGAAUGGUCAAGUGUACAGGGGAGGAAGUAGUAAAGACUUUACAGGAGUAGGUGACAUGUGAACUGGAAGGAUGAAUUGUUUAUCAGGUGAAUAAGGGGUUUGGAGCAGGAAAGAGAGAGGGUAUUCUGCGUAGGGCAGAGCAUGUAUAAGCCAUGGAGGUAUGAGGCAACACCUGACUCCCAGCUAUUUCCUUAUGGCUACAGCUGAGAGCACUUAUGGCAAAGUGGCAAGAGUCGUAGAGUAUGCCAUGACAAAACAAAGUCUGAAGGACUGGUGGUCAGUGUGGCGGGAAGAGAGGCAAGCAUGGCACCAAAGAGCUCCGGUUUUGAUCUCCAGUGAAUUACACACAGCCACCCACGAAGAACUGAGCCCGACCUAGCAAGCACAGACAAGCGAGGCAAGAAUUCAUCACAACUGCACAGAGAAAGCUAUGUGUGGUGAAGGGCCUCCUUUAGGGACUGACUGUAGAAAAACUAUGGAACUGAGUGGUUAGCUAGUCUAGACAGGGAAGAGAUACAGUUCAGAAGGCAUGAAAAAGAACAUUUCAGCAACCCUAUGAAAUAGCCAUUAUUAUCGACCCCAGGAAUAAGGAGGCAAAGGCAUAGAGAAGUGAACUAACUUGCCCAAGGCCACACAGCUGGUAAGUAGCACAGCUAGGAUUUGAACUGGGGCAGUCUGGCACGAAAACCUGCUUUUUAAAUCAAAAUGUUAUUUUAUACUACUUCUCCAAAGACAAAUCAUAAUAGUAAUAAUAGUAGCACUACCAUUUAUAGUGUUUAUGAUAUGGGCUAGAUGCUAUAGUAUGCCAGGCACACACAUUAUCUUGCCUAAGAUCACUCAGCUCUCAGGUGGAAGAGCUGGAUUCAAAGUUCAGGAUGCUUGAAUCUGGGAGACAAUAAAGUGCACCAGGAGCUAGAAUAAGUUUGUACAAGGUACAAAUGUGGAGCAUAAAAGAGGAGGUAAUUAAUCUUACCUGGUGGGAGUGGUAUUGAGUUGUGGGUUACUGGAAAACUUCACAACUUCACACAGGGGUGACUUUUUUUUUUCUUUUUUUUCUUUUUUUUUUUUGAGACAAGGUCUGGCUCUGUUGCCCAGGCUGGAGUGCGGCGGCACAACCACAGCUUACUGCAGCCUUGACCUCCCAGGCCCAAGCAAUCCUCUCACCUCAGCCUCCCGAAUGGCUGGGACCACAGGUGUGUGCCACCACACUUGGCUAAUUUUUUAGUAGAGACAGGGUCUUCGUGUGCUGUCCAGGCUGGUCUCGAACUCCUGGGCUCAUGCAGUCCUCACGCCUCAGCCUCCCAAAGUACUGGGAUGACAGGCGUGAACCACUGCACCGGCAAGAGUGGGGUGACUUGUGAGCUGAUUUUUGAAAGAUGAUUGGGUAUUCAUCAGACAGAAUGAUAGGGCAGUGUUCCAUGCAGAGGGAACAGUGGGAAUAAAGGAAUGGAGGUUUGAAAGAGCUGUCACAUUCAGGAAACUGCAAGCAAUGUUGAUGGCUUGGGAAUUGAGUGGGUGGCAUGACAAUAAGAAGGAGGCAGGGGGCUGCAUCACACAGAAUCUUACUUGCCUUUCCAGAAAAUCUGAGCUAUUUUUUAAGUUUUUCCAAUGAAGUAAAUGUAAUGGCCAAAAAGAGUAAAUAAAUAUCCCUAGGGAAUCUGGUGGCUUAGUCUGAAGCUGUUCAGACUAGUAGGAAUUCUUUGAAGACUAUUUUUUCUUAAUAAUGCAUGCAUGCUGGCUGGGUGUGGUGGCUCAUGCCUAUAAUCCCAGCAUGUUGGGAGGCUGAGGCAGGAGGAUCACUUGAGCUCAGGAGUUUGAGACCAGCUUGGGCAAUGUGGCAAAAGCAAUCUCUACCAAAAAUUAAAAAAUUAGCCUGGUAUGGUGGCGCACGCCUGUAGUCACAGCCACUUGGGGGCUGAGGUGGGAGGAUCACUUGAGCUGGGAGAUGGAGGUUGCAGUGAGCCAAGAUCGCACCACUGCACUCUAACCUGUAUGACGCAGUGAGACCGUGUCUCAAAAUAAAAUAAUAAUGCAUGCUAAA